rnacentral:lncRNA from 1 species
CAGCCAUUAGAGCUCACCACCCCGGGUGUUAGUCACUGCAGACAUCACUGCAGACAUCACUGCAGACACAGAGACGGCCAUUAGAGCUCACCACCCCGAGCGUUAGUCACUGCAGACAUCACUGCAGACACAGAGACGGCCAUUAGAGCUCACCACCCCAGGUGUUAGUCACUGCAGACAUCACUGCAGACACAGAGACGGCCAUUAGAGCUCACCACCCCAGGCGUUAGUCACUGCAGACAUCACUGCAGACACAGAGACGGCCAUUAGAGCUCACCACCCCAAGUGUUAGUCACUGCAGACAUCACUGCAGACACAGAGACGGCCA